UGUUUAAUAGAGGUAUAACAGAUGGUGUGUUUAAUAGAGGUAUAACAGAUGGUGUGUUUAAUAGAGGUAUAACAGAUGGUGUGUUUAAUAGAGGUAUAACAGAUGGUAUGGUGUGUUUAAUAGAGGUAUAACAGAUGGUGUGUUUAAUAGAGGUAUAACAGAUGGUGUGUUUAAUAGAGGUAUAACAGAUGGUGUGUUUAAUAGAGGUAUAACAGAUGGUGUGUUUAAUAGAGGUAUAACAGAUGGUGUGUUUAAUAGAGGUAUAACAGAUGGUGUGUUUAAUAGAGGUAUAACAGAUGGUAUGGUGUGUUUAAUAGAGGUAUAACAGAUGGUGUGUUUAAUAGAGGUAUAACAGAUGGUGUGUUUAAUAGAGGUAUAACAGAUGGUGUGUUUAAUAGAGGUAUAACAGAUGGUGUGUUUAAUAGAGGUAUAACAGAUGGUGUGUUUAAUAGAGGUAUAACAGAUGGUGUGUUUAAUAGAGGUAUAACAGAUGGUAUGGUGUGUUUAAUAGAGGUAUAACAGAUGGUGUGUUUAAUAGAGGUAUAACAGAUGGUGUGUUUAAUAGAGGUAUAACAGAUGGUGUGUUUAAUAGAGGUAUAACAGAUGGUGUGUUUAAUAGAGGUAUAACAGAUGGUAUGGUGUGUUUAAUAGAGGUAUAACAGAUGGUGUGUUUAAUAGAGGUAUAACAGAUGGUAUGGUGUGUUUAAUAGAGGUAUAACAGAUGGUGUGUUUAAUAGAGGUAUAACAGAUGGUGUGUUUAAUAGAGGUAUAACAGAUGGUGUGUUUAAUAGAGGUAUAACAGAUGGUGUGUUUAAUAGAGGUAUAACAGAUGGUGUGUUUAAUAGAGGUAUAACAGAUGGUGUGUUUAAUAGAGGUAUAACAGAUGGUAUGGUGUGUUUAAUAGAGGUAUAACAGAUGGUGUGUUUAAUAGAGGUAUAACAGAUGGUGUGUUUAAUAGAGGUAUAACAGAUGGUGUGUUUAAUAGAGGUAUAACAGAUGGUGUGUUUAAUAGAGGUAUAACAGAUGGUAUGGUGUGUUUAAUAGAGGUAUAACAGAUGGUGUGUUUAAUAGAGGUAUAACAGAUGUUGUGGUGUGUUUAAUAGAGGUAUAACAGAUGGUGUGUUUAAUAGAGGUAUAACAGAUGGUGUGUUUAAUAGAGGUAUAACAGAUGGUGUGUUUAAUAGAGGUAUAACAGAUGGUGUGUUUAAUAGAGGUAUAACAGAUGGUAUGGUGUGUUUAAUAGAGGUAUAACAGAUGGUGUGUUUAAUAGAGGUAUAACAGAUGGUGUGUUUAAUAGAGGUAUAACAGAUGGUGUGUUUAAUAGAGGUAUAACAGAUGGUAUGGUGUGUUUAAUAGAGGUAUAACAGAUGGUAUGGUGUGUUUAAUAGAGGUAUAACAGAUGGUGUGUUUAAUAGAGGUAUAACAGAUGGUGUGUUUAAUAGAGGUAUAACAGAUGGUGUGUUUAAUAGAGGUAUAACAGAUGGUAUGGUGUGUUUAAUAGAGGUAUAACAGAUGGUGUGUUUAAUAGAGGUAUAACAGAUGGUGUGUUUAAUAGAGGUAUAACAGAUGGUGUGUUUAAUAGAGGUAUAACAGAUGGUGUGUUUAAUAGAGGUAUAACAGAUGGUAUGGUGUGUUUAAUAGAGGUAUAACAGAUGGUGUGUUUAAUAGAGGUAUAACAGAUGGUGUGUUUAAUAGAGGUAUAACAGAUGGUGUGUUUAAUAGAGGUAUAACAGAUGGUGUGUUUAAUAGAGGUAUAACAGAUGGUGUGUUUAAUAGAGGUAUAACAGAUGGUGUGUUUAAUAGAGGUAUAACAGAUGGUGUGGUGUGUUUAAUAGAGGUAUAACAGAUGGUGUGUUUAAUAGAGGUAUAACAGAUGGUGUGUUUAAUAGAGGUAUAACAGAUGGUGUGUUUAAUAGAGGUAUAACAGAUGGUGUGUUUAAUAGAGGUAUAACAGAUGGUAUGGUGUGUUUAAUAGAGGUAUAACAGAUGGUGUGUUUAAUAGAGGUAUAACAGAUGGUGUGUUUAAUAGAGGUAUAACAGAUGGUGUGUUUAAUAGAGGUAUAACAGAUGGUGUGUUUAAUAGGGGUAUAACAGAUGGUGUGUUUAAUAGAGGUAUAACAGAUGGUAUGGUGUGUUUAAUAGAGGUAUAACAGAUGGUGUGUUUAAUAGAGGUAUAACAGAUGGUGUGUUUAAUAGAGGUAUAACAGAUGGUGUGUUUAAUAGAGGUAUAACAGAUGGUAUGGUGUGUUUAAUAGAGGUAUAACAGAUGGUGUGUUUAAUAGAGGUAUAACAGAUGGUGUGUUUAAUAGAGGUAUAACAGAUGGUGUGGUGUGUUUAAUAGAGGUAUAACAGAUGGUGUGUUUAAUAGAGGUAUAACAGAUGGUGUGUUUAAUAGAGGUAUAACAGAUGGUGUGUUUAAUAGAGGUAUAACAGAUGGUGUGGUGUGUUUAAUAGAGGUAUAACAGAUGGUGUGUUUAAUAGAGGUAUAACAGAUGGUGUGUUUAAUAGAGGUAUAACAGAUGGUGUGUUUAAUAGAGGUAUAACAGAUGGUGUGUUUAAUAGAGGUAUAACAGAUGGUGUGGUGUGUUUAAUAGAGGUAUAACAGAUGGUGUGGUGUGUUUAAUAGAGGUAUAACAGAUGGUAUGGUGUGUUUAAUAGAGGUAUAACAGAUGGUGUGUUUAAUAGAGGUAUAACAGAUGGUGUGUUUAAUAGAGGUAUAACAGAUGGUGUGUUUAAUAGAGGUAUAACAGAUGGUGUGUUUAAUAGAGGUAUAACAGAUGGUGUGUUUAAUAGAGGUAUAACAGAUGGUGUGGUGUGUUUAAUAGAGGUAUAACAGAUGGUAUGGUGUGUUUAAUAGAGGUAUAACAGAUGGUGUGGUGUGUUUAAUAGAGGUAUAACAGAUGGUGUGUUUAAUAGAGGUAUAACAGAUGGUGUGUUUAAAAGUGGCCAUUCUGCUGAAUCCUUAUUGGAUUCUACCUGUAAUCCUAAUCCUUCCUCUGUUAGGGAAUUCAGUCAACGCUUUCACAUCUUUCUUCAAAAUAUAUAAUAUACUUACCAGUCCAUCCUGUAGAAUACACCUUUCAAACCGCCAAGCUUCAUAAUAGCCGCCCCCACCACUCUCUCCACCCUUCAUCACUGAGCCUUUCACACUGUCACUGUGAACAGGAUAUCCUGUCCGAUGUUAGAUGGACGGAGAUGAUAUUAAACGACCUCUUCCCCAAAAUGGAGGUCAAUGGUGGGCUAUAAUGAAUGUCUUUUGUGGGGUCCGUUAAUUACUGGUGAGAGCGGUGCAGGAGGAGAUGUUAAUUACUGGUGAGAGUGGUGCAGGAGGAGAUGUUAAUUACUGGUGAGAGCGGUGCAGGAGGAGAUGUUAAUUACUGGUGAGAGUGGUGCAGGAGGAGAUGUUAAUUACUGGUGAGAGCGGUGCAGGAGGAGAUGUUAAUUACUGGUGAGAGCGGUGCAGGAGGAGAUGUUAAUUACUGGUGAGAGUGGUGCAGGAGGAGAUGUUAAUUACUGGUGAGAGCGGUGCAGGAGGAGGAGAUGUUAAUUACUGGUGAGAGCGGUGCAGGAGGAGGAGAUGUUAAUUACUGGUGAGAGCGGUGCAGGAGGAGGAGAUGUUAAUUACUGGUGAGAGCGGUGCAGGAGGAGAUGUUAAUUACUGGUGAGAGCGGUGCAGGAGGAGAUGUUAAUUACUGGUGAGAGCGGUACAGGAGGAGGAGAUGUUAAUUACUGGUGAGAGUGGUGCAGGAGGAGAUGUUAAUUACUGGUGAGAGCGGUGCAGGAGGAGAUGAAUGGAUGUUCUUCAAGAGAAGAGCCGGUCAGAUGAGGAGAUGAAGGAGCACGGGUGGUUGGAGACACGUCUCUUUAACUCUGUCCCUCGCCGUCAAUCCCACCACACAUACUCGCGCAUACGGACGAACGCAGACACACACACACACACACACACACACACACACACACACACACACACACACACACACACACACACACACACACACACACUCUAGAGGUGCUGCUGGUGAAAGAAAAAGAAAAGGUGUCCCCUUUCUCUUAUCUGACAUCUCCUUUUCAAUGUGGCGGGAGUUUUCAUUUUGUUUGAAAAGCCAACAACACGUGCUCUCUCUCUCUCUCUCUCUCUCUCUCUCUCUCUCUCUCUCUCUCUCUCUCUCUCUCUCUCUCUCUCUCUCUCUCUCUCUCUCUCUCUCUCUCUCUCUCUCUCUCUCUCUCUCUCUCUCUCUCUCUCUCUCUCUCUCUCCUUCCCUCUCUCUACCUCUCUCCUUCCCUCUCUUUCACCCCUCACGUUCUCUCUCUCCCUCUCUCUCCCUAUCUCUCCUCUCCUCAGUGUACAGUGGCAAGAAAAAGUAUGUGAACCCUUUACCUGGAUUUCUGCAUAAAUUGGUCAUAAAAUUUGAUCUGAUCUUCAUCUAAGUCACAACAAUAGACAAACACAGUCUGCUUGAACUAAUAAAACACAAACAAUUAUACAUUUUCAUGUCUUUAUUGAACACACCGUGUAAACAUUCACAGGGAAAAAUAUGUGAACUCUUGGAUUUAAUAACUGGUUGACCCUCCUUUGGCAGCAAUAACCUCAACCAAACGUUUUCUGUAGUUGUGGAUCAGACCUGCACAACGUUAGGAGGAAUUCUGGACCAUUCCUCUUUACAAAACUGUUUCAGUUCAGCAAUAUUCUUGGGAUGUCUGGUGUGAACUGCUCUCUUGAGGUCACGCCACAGCAUCUCAAUCGGGUUGAGGUCAGGACUCUGACUGGGCCACUCCAGAAGGCGUGUUUUUGGUUCUGUUGAAACAAUUCUGUUGAUUUACUUCUGUGUUUUGGGUCGUUGUCCUGUUGCAUCACCCAACAUCUCUUCAGCUUCAAUUUGCGGACAGAUAGCGUUACAUUCUCCGGCAAAAUGUCUUGAUAAACUUGGGAAUUCAUUGUUCCGUCUAUGAUAGCAAGCUGUCCAGGCCCUGAGGCAGCAAAGCAGCCCCAAACCAUGAUGCUCCCUCCACCAGACUUUACAGUUGGGAUGAGGUUUUGAUGUUGGUGUGCUGUGUCUUUUUUUCUCCACAUAGUGUUGUGUUCCUUCCAAACAACUCAACUGUAGUUUCAUCUGUCCACAGAAUAUUUAGCCAGUAGCGCUGUGGAACAUCCAGGUGCACUUUUGUAAACUCCAGAUGUUUUUAUUGGACAGCAGUGUCUUCUUCCGUGGUGUCCUCCCAUGAACACCAUUCUUGUUUAGUGUUUAACGUAUCGUAUGACUCGUCAACAGCGAUGUUAGCAUGUUCCAGAGGUUUCUGUAAGUCUUUAGCUGACACUCUAGGAUUCUUCUUAACCUCAUUGAGCGUUCUGCGCUGUGCUCUUGCAGUCAUCUUUGCAGGACGAACACUCCUAGGGAGAGUAGCAACAGUGAUGAACUUUCUCCAUUUAUAGACUAUUUGUCUUACUGUGGACUGAUGAAGAUCAAGGCUUUUAAAGAUACUUGUGUAAUCCUUUCCAGCUUUAUGCAAGUCAACAAUUCUUAAUUUGAGGUCUUCUGAGAUCUUUUGUUUGAGGCAUGGGUCACAUCAGGCAAUGCUUCUUGUGAAUAACAAACUAACAUUUUGUGAGUGGUGUUUAUAGGGCAGGGCAGCUCUAACCAACAUCUCCAAUCUCAGACUGUGUGAGUGUUGUUUAUAGGGCAGGGCAGCUCUAACCAACAUCUCCAAUCUCAUCUCAUUGAUUGGACUCCAGGUUAACUGACUCCUGACUCCUUUUAUCUUUUAGAGAAGUCAUUAGCCUUGGGGUUCACAUCCAACCUGCACUGUGAAUGUUUAAAUGAUGUAUUCAAUAUAGACAAGAGAAAUACAAUGAUUGGUAUUAUUUUUAAUAAGUUUAAGCACACAAUGUGUGUGUAUUGUUGUGAGUUAGAUUACCAAUUUAUGCAGAAAUAGAGGUAUUUCCAAAGGCUUCACAUACUUUGUAUUGCUACUGUAUAUACAGCGCCUUUGGGAAGUAUUCAGACCUCUUGACCUUUUCCACAUUUUGUUAGGUUACAGCCUUGGAAACGUUUGCAGUUUCUGAUGUUUUUUAAAUAUAUUUUUACGGAAAUAUUACAUUUGCAUAAGUAUUCAGACCCUUUACUCAGUACUUUGUUGAAGCACUUUUGGUCUAUGGCACUGCAUCGCGGUGCU